CUGCUCCAAUCAUGCACUUCAUC
rnacentral:snRNA from 1 species